rnacentral:pre_miRNA from 8 species
UGGCGGUCUCACUUGGUCACUGCUGUGUUUUAUGGCUUUCUAUUCCUAUGUGAUUUUCUUCUGCCGUGUCACAUAGGGUUCAAAGCCAUUGGGUACAGAGUGGAAACGCAACUGAUGGUUAU